GAUAGCACGAUUUCUAUUUGCACCGAACAUAAUUGCACGGAAAGAACGAUAGAGGAGUAGCUCCUCAAGGAUAGUGUUUUUCCACUUUCUGCCAUUUGUGAAACUCUUCAAUGGCUACCUUCAACCUCUCAUCCCCAAAAAGGCCAACACACUCAGGCUCUUCCCUUGGCGAAAAAAAAAAUGAAAAAAAUUCCACAAAUUUUUAAAUCUUUAAAAAAAAUUUAGAUUUGUCAAAAAUUAAAAAGAAAAAAAAACUAGCCGACUCACCUUUGAGUUGAAAAGCUCAGGUUGAGCUUAAAUUUUUUGGCCAAGCAAAAACUCGACUUGACUACAGCCAGAAAAUGCAAGAAUCACUUUUACUCAAGCCGAGCUCUGCCUUCUAGCUUCGCGAGCUGGCUCAACUCGUUGAUAUCUUACAUGCAUCAAAUAUGAUCGCAUUUUCAUUCCAAUCCGGAGAUAGCACGAUUUCUAUUUGCACCGAACAUAAUUGCACGGAAAGAACGAUAGAGGAGUAGCUCCUCAAGGAUAGUGUUUUUCCACUGUCUGCCAUUUGUGAAACUCUUCAAUGGCUACCUUCAACCUCUCAUCCCCAAAAAGGCCAACACACUCAGGCUCUUCCCUUGGCGUAUAUUCCCAAUUUUCUUCCCAAAAUGCCUCCUCUCUUUCGUUUUAUUCCCUACCGAAGCCUUCUCUACCCUUCUCCUCUAUAUCCCUCAGACGUA
rnacentral:lncRNA from 1 species